rnacentral:piRNA from 1 species
AAGAUAUGUCUUUGUCUCUGCC